UGGGUUGAGGCGGAAGAGCUCCGCCCCGGAGUUGUUGGUGCCGCCGGCGGCGAAGACGCCUGAGGUGACCAGCGCGCGCAUCAGGCGGCCGAGGAACGGCUGCUUGCUUGCCGGGAUGGACAGCACGGCCGCCAGGUCGGGCAGCGAGGUGACCCCGCCGAGGUUGUGCAUCGCCGUCGGGAUGCCGAGCUUGACGGCGCAGCGGAGCCCCAUGGACGUGAGGUAGUAGAGGGUGUGGCGCCACAGGUCGGCCUGAGCCUGCAGCAGCUCGGCAUCAGUGGGAACCUCGAUCGCCGGUACCUGGGCGGCCAUUGCUCUUUCCGUCUCGAUCACUGGCUGAUAUUUCUCUGCUCAGCUUGACCUAAUCUGAU
rnacentral:lncRNA from 1 species